GUGCUUACUUCAGCACGUACAUUAAAACUGAACUGACAAUGUUAGCACAAGAUUAGCAUGGCUCUUGUGGAAAAGAUUACAUACAAAUUUGUGAAGUGUUCUAUAUUGUU
rnacentral:snRNA from 1 species